UACGUAGGGUCCGAACGUUGUCCGGAAUUACUGGGCGUAAAGGGCGCGUAGGCGGCCUGCUAAGUCGAACGUGAAAUCCCCGGGCUCAACCCGGGAACUGCGUCCGAUACUGACAGGCUUGAAUCCGGGAGAGGGAUGUGGAAUUCCAGGUGUAGCGGUGAAAUGCGUAGAUAUCUGGAGGAACACCGGUGGCGAAGGCGGCAUCCUGGACCGGUAUUGACGCUGAUGCGCGAAAGCCAGGGGAGCAAACGGG
rnacentral:rRNA from 1 species